CAGGGGAAGGAGACGACGGAGGAACUACUUGCAAGGUUGAAUUUGCAGGAGGAGCAAGAUGAUGACUUUGUGUGGGAGGAGGAACUGUCGGACCUGGGAGCGCCGAGGAAGUGGCUUGCUAUUGUUAGGGUACACACUCCAAAGACUUUCAGCCCUAAUGCUCUAUACGGGGACAUGCGUGCCGCAUGGAACCCUGCGAAAACGGUGGUUUGGAGGAAGAUUAAGGACAACUUGUUCACAGCUCAAUUUGGAUGCCUAGGAGAUUGG
rnacentral:rRNA from 1 species